AGAACGAACGCUGGCGGCAUGCCUAAUACAUGCAAGUCGAACGAACACUUCGGUGUUAGUGGCGCACGGGUGCGUAACGCGUGGGAAUCUGCCCUUGGGUUCGGAAUAACAGUUGGAAACGACUGCUAAUACCGGAUGAUGACGAAAGUCCAAAGAUUUAUCGCCCAGGGAUGAGCCCGCGUAGGAUUAGCUAGUUGGUGAGGUAAAGGCUCACCAAGGC
rnacentral:rRNA from 1 species